rnacentral:lncRNA from 1 species
UUAUUUGGUAUGUUGAGUGCUUUGUCUGCAUGUUUAUCUGUGCACUACAGGUUUUCCGAUGCCCGUGGAGGUCAGAAGAGGGUACCGGACCAAUGGAAUUCAGGUGGCUGUGGUGAGCGCUGUGGGUUGUGAGAACUGAACCUGGGUCCUCUGUAAGAAGGACAAGAGCUCAUGACUGCUUAUCUUCUCUCUGGCCCCUCAUUUUACCUUCACGGGGUCUUGCGUGGCCCAGCCUCACCUCUGAGCUGCUGCUCAGAGAAGGUGGUGGAGAGACUUCAAAGAAUGAAACAAGAUGGCGUGACCCCGGGCCCUUUGAAACUGAGCCAGACCUGGAAUCCAGCCCCUGCCUGCUUUCUUCUGCACUGAAGAAUAAGGACCUUCUAAGCCUUGUGUAUCCGCUCUUCCUUAGCCUGGGAUCGGGGGUUCAAGACCAUUCUCGCCCACUACACAGCAUGUGUGGAGCUGGGCUGGUCACGUGAGAACCCUGCCUUAAUUAAUUAAUUAAUUAAUUAAUGAGUUU